GUACGCGGAGACCCUCCCAGGCUGAGAGGGAUAAAGUUGAUCUCCAGAACCUGGACUCCAUCCUGGACAGCAUGGGAGCCCAUUUAACCAAUGAGGAGCUGCAAGAGGCAUUGAAACAUGUGACUGUUGAUGCGGACGGGAAGGUGAAUUUGGGCGAAUUUAUGAAGGAGGUGAGGGCUGUCCAGAAAUUGCCCCCAGGGGAAGAGGACAAAGUGGAUGUGGGGAACCUGGACUCCGUGCUGGCCAACAUGGGGAUCCAUUUAACCCAGGAGGAGCUGCAGGA